rnacentral:rRNA from 1 species
GACGAACGCUGGCGGCGCGCUUAACACAUGCAAGUCGAGCGAUGAAACUUUAACAGAACCCUUCGGGGCGAAGAUAAAGGGGAUUAGCGGCGGACGGGUGAGUAACACGUGAGUAACCUGCCUUAGACAUUGGGAUAGCCUCGGGAAACCGGGAUUAAUACCAAAUAAAAUCAUAAUGACACAUGUCAUAACGAUCAAAACUCCGGUGGUCUAAGAUGGACUCGCGUCCCAUUAGCUAGUUGGUAGAGUAAAAGCCUACCAAGGCGACGAUGGGUAGCCGGCCUGAGAGGGUGAACGGCCACAAUGGAACUGAGAAACGGUCCAAACUCCUACGGGAGGCAGCAGUGGGGAAUAUUGCACAAUGGAGGGAACUCUGAUGCAGCGACGCCGCGUGAACGAAGAAGGCUUUCGAGUCGUAAAGUUCUUUUAUAUGGGAAGAUAAUGACGGUACCAUAAGAAAAAGCCCCGGCUAACUACGUG